rnacentral:rRNA from 1 species
CAGCCGCCGCGGUAAUACCGGCGGCCCGAGUGGCGGUCACUAUUAUUUGGCUUAAAGCGUCCGUAGCCGGGUUGGGAAGUCCUCCGGGAAAUCUGGCCGCUUAACGGUCAGAAUGCCGGAGGAUACUCCCAGCCUAGGGAGCGGGAGAGGCCGAGGGUAUUCCCGGGGUAGGGGUGAAAUCCUAUAAUCCCGGGAGGACCACCUGUGGCGAAGGCGCUCGGCUGGAACGCGUCCGACGGUGAGGGACGAAGGCCAGGGGAGCAAACCGGAUUAGAUACCCGGGUAGUCCUGGCUGUAAACGAUGCGGACUUUGUGUCGGACAAGCUAUGAGCUUGUCCGGUGCCGGAGGGAAACCGUUAAGUCCGCCGCCUGGGGAGUACGGCCGCAAGGCUGAAACUCAAAGGAAUUGGCGGG